UAAAAUAAAAAGUUUUGCAAUAUUUUUGGAGGAAAGAAAAAUGAAGCCAUCAACCACAACCAUGGUUUUGUUGCUUGUGCUAUUCCUUUCUACUUUUGAUAGUUUAAAUAAUGUGAAUGCUAGGUCUUUGACUUGCAAGAGUAGCAAAGAUUGCAUAAAUCAGUGCGGUUCUCCUGGUUGUCCACCUCCUGCUUCAUGCGUUUGUGUCUCCGGAAAGUGUGAUUGCGCCAAUGUAGAAACUACCGUAGAAUCCGUGUUUGGACCAUUAAAUGGUCAUGUUUAAAGAACAUAUUGAAUUUAGUAUAAGUUGUAAUUGAAUUUUUUGCUAUAAUAUCACAAUAAGAAUAAAUUAUUAUAAUAAACAAUAUAAUAUAUAUUCUCUUUUGAA